rnacentral:tRNA from 1 species
GCUCCUAUCGUUUAAGGGUAAAAGACAAUGCUUUUUCGUGGCAUAAAUGUGGGUUCAAAUCCCACUGGGAGUA